rnacentral:rRNA from 1 species
UACGUAGGGCGCAAGCGUUGUCCGGAAUUAUUGGGUUUAAAGGGUGCGUAGGCGGUUUUGUAAGUCAGUGGUGAAAUACUCCAGCUUAGCUGGAGGGGUGCCAAUGAUACUGCAGAACUUGAGUACAGAUGAGGUAGGCGGAAUUGACGGUGUAGCGGUGAAAUGCAUAGAUAUCGUCAAGAACACCGAUAGCGAAGGCAGCUUACUGGGCUGUAACUGACGCUGAGGCACGAAAGUGUGGGGAUCAAACAGG